GACGAACGCUGGCGGUGUGCUUCACACAUGCAAGUCGAACGGAGUAGCAAUACUCAGUGGCGGACGGGUGAGUAACACGUGGGAAUCUACCAUUAGAUGGGGAAUAACAGGCCGAAAGGACUGCUAAUGCCGCAUAUGUAUGUGCCUCGACAGGGGGCAUAUAUGAAAGGAGUAAUCCGUCUGAUGAUGAGCCCGCGUCCGAUUAGCUAGUUGGUAGGGUAAAAGCCUACCAAGGCGACGAUCGGUAGGUGGUCGUGAGAGGAUGAUCACCC
rnacentral:rRNA from 1 species